UAACAGGGGCUUCGGCCCGCUGACGAGUGGCGAACGGGUGAGUAAUGCGUCGGAACGCACCGAGUAAUGGGGGAUAACGCAGCGAAAGCUGUGCUAAUACCGCAUACGCUCCGAGGAGGAAAGCAGGGGAUCGAAAGACCUUGCGUUAUUCGAGCGGCCGACGUCUGAUUAGCUAGUUGGCGGGGUAAAAGCCCACCAAGGCAACGAUCAGUAGCGGGUCUGAGAGGAUGAUCCGCCACACUGGGACUGAGACACGGCCCAGACUCCUACGGGAGGCAGCAGUGGGGAAUUUUGGACAAUGGGCGCAAGCCUGAUCCAGCCAUGCCGCGUGUCUGAAGAAGGCCUUCGGGUUGUAAAGGACUUUUGUCCGGGAGCAAAUGCCGGUGGCUAAUAUCCACUG
rnacentral:rRNA from 1 species